rnacentral:rRNA from 1 species
AACGAACGCUGGCGGCAUGCCUAACACAUGCAAGUCGAACGAUGGUCUUCGGAUCAUAGUGGCGCACGGGUGCGUAACGCGUGGGAAUCUGCCCUUGGGUUCGGAAUAACAGUUGGAAACGACUGCUAAUACCGGAUGAUAUCGAUAAGACCAAAGAUUUAUCGCCCGAGGAUGAGCCCGCGUCGGAUUAGCUGGUUGGUGGGGUAAAGGCCUACCAAGGCGACGAUCCGUAGCUGGGCUGAGAGGAUGAUCAGCCACACUGGGACUGAGACACGGCCCAGACUCCUACGGGAGGCAGCAGUGGGGAAUAUUGGACAAUGGGCGCAAGCCUGAUCCAGCAAUGCCGCGUGAGUGAUGAAGGCCUUAGGGUUGUAAAGCUCUUUUACCCGGGAAGAUAAUGACUGUACCGGGAGAAUAAGCCCCGGCUAACUCCGUG